ACUUUCUCUUAAUGAUAUUUUAACGCCGUUCAAACUCAUGUGAAGGCUGUGGUCUACAUCGUUUCCGUCUCCCCGUAACUGGUGCGACUCUCUCUCUCUCUCUCGCGGUUGGUUUGAAAAUGUCUAAUUCUGGCGGAAACCCCGUUGGCGGAGGCGGCGCAGCCACCAGCACCGCAGCGGCGCCUCAGCUCUACUUCUGCCACCAGUGCAACCGUACGGUGACCCUCAUCCCCUCUCCUACCUCCGAUCUCUCCUGCCCCGUUUGCCAUGACGGCUUUCUCGAAGAACUCGAAAACCCCAACCCUAUCCCAAACCCCAUGCCCUUCCACAAUUCCUUCUUUACUUCCUCCUCCUCCGACUUCCCCGCCGCGCAUCCCCUCCUCUUCUCCGCCUCCCCCAACGCUGUCCCCAUGUUCAAUGAUCUCCCCGCCCUCUUCGGCGCCUCCGCGGGCACCACCCGCACCUCGCCCUUCGAAGAAUCUGACGCCUUCAACCCCUUUGUUUUCCUUCAGAAUUACCUCCAAACCCUAGGCGGCAACGUCGAGGUCGUCAUUAACUCGGGCGGCGACCCGGGGUUCCGUGGCGGUGUCGGCGCCCCCAACAUCAAUCUUGGCGACUAUUUCUUUGGACCCGGUCUCGAACAACUGAUCCAACAGCUGGCUGAGAACGAUCCAAACCGGUACGGGACGCCUCCGGCAUCGAAAUCGGCCAUCCAGGCGUUGCCGGACGUUAAGAUCUCGGAGGAUUUGUUGGCUUCAGAUUCGUGGCAGUGCGCGGUGUGUAAGGACACGUUCGAGCUGGACGAGGAGGCCAAGCAGAUGCCGUGCAAGCACAUUUACCAUGCGGAUUGUAUUCUGCCUUGGUUGGAACUGCAUAAUUCUUGUCCUGUGUGUCGCCAUGAGCUGCCAACCGAUGACCCCGAUUACGAGCAAAGGACUCUCAGAAGGUCCGUGUCCUCGGGGGCUGGGAAUCAGACAGGGGGUGCUGGUGCUGGUGCUGGUGCUGGUAGCAGUGGUAUUGCCGAUCAGAGUCAGGAUGGGGCUUCUGAAGAGACUCCACAGACCCCGAGGACGGCAGAGCGGAGGUUUAGGAUCUCAUUGCCAUUUCCAUGGCCAUUUAGGGCGUUCGGGUCACCUGCUGAGACGAGCAAUAGUGGGAGUGUCAACAACAACGCAAGCAAUGAUGGUGAAGGGAAUUCUGGAAGUAGAGGAAAUCAGAACUUCCAAUCAGAGACCAGACAGGAAGAUCUUGACUGAAGACCAAUGGUUAUUGGAUGAAAAAGAUUAUAGAAUGCUCUGGUAUUACUAAUGGUCAGCCAAACAAAUGAUGAAAAAUUCUUCAGUGACAUUCAGAGAAAUUGUGUCAAAUGAAACCAAAUUUCCCUGAAGUUCUUGUCUGUCCUGAGAUGUGGUCUGAAGACCUUCCACAUGAGUGCAUGAUGCUUGUAGGUCAUUGGAGCACACCAUGCACAUAUACCAUUUGUUGAUCCUAGUGGAUGUGUGCAUCAAGAACCAUAUAAUAUCCAUUUGAACUGGAAAUUUAUGCUUCUGCUUUUGGUAUCAAGACCGGUACACGAAUUUGCAAGCAAUGUUGAAUAUAGGAAAGAUCUUACAUAAUGAUAAGUGAGUUGCAUUUUAUUUUUUUUUUCCCUGUAAUAAUUUUAAGUAAAUGCCCAUCUUCAGUUUACCAUUUCGGGAUUAAUUCAUACUUUCUGAAUGUUAUUUUUCAUGGAAUCCUUUUUACUGUCACAUCUUGAGCUCGAAAGUGAUGCUGCAAUUUACUCUUAUUUUCUUUCA